UGAAUAUCUGAGUCAGAGCAUCUGUGGGUCAUAAGUGAGGCCAGGACACUAAGUGGCUUCAUUCUGAUGCUUGACUCUUUGUAAUCAUAACAUUUCUAAAUGCUAUGAAAACAGAUUUGAUCCUUUUUUUUGGUUAAUGGCUGCCAGUGUGGCUUGUUAAUGUGAAAAUUCAUCACAGGCCAAGAUAAUAUAGGACACAGGUGGAUUGUGGAAAGACACUCCUAGGCAACUACUCGGACCCCAUUGGUUCUGAUGAGCAUACCAAGAAGUAGUUCCUACCUGUUCUUAAUAGCUAGUCUACUUACAGAUGUUAAUCCUGUGGUCCUUUAUAAAAUUCAGAUCGUCCAUUCUGCCCCAUCUUUUGAAUCCAUUUUGGAUUGCAGUGACAGUAACUUUGUCCAUAUUCCUCAGGUUGGUUGAGAUUGAUGAUCUGAGGAUAGAACUGGGGGCCUCGUGGAUGCUAGGCAAGUACUCUGUCACUAAGCUACAUUCCUAGCUGGCCUAGUCUCUUAGCACAGAUUUCUCAGUUAUUGUAGUGUGGAUAGGCUGAGAGUUUUUUUAAAGGUACAGUUCUCUUUGUUUAACAAUUUCUUCUUAGCUUCAGUGUUCUCCCCUUUUCAUAUUUUACUAAAGGCACUCAGGAGGAACCAAGUUGCUCCUUUUGAACACUUUAAUUACAGAUAAGUUUCUGAGUCUAUCACUCUCAAGUUCUAACUUCCACACAAAAUGUUUCUAUACAGAUCUGCUCGGUUCAAUAUCACUACACACCACUGAUUGCUUUUUCUUCAUGUUCUAAUAACAUGUUCUUCCUUCUUAACUAAGGGAGUCCUCACCAGAAUAGCUGGCCUCUACCUGUCACUCAGUUUCAAGGCUACUUGCAUGUGUUUAAGUGUGUGGUUUUUUUUUGUUUUUUUUUUUUGUUUUUUUUUUUUUUACUGCAUUGCCACAGUACCACAAAACACUAGAGCUGGCAAAAUGGCUCAGAAGGUAAAGGUGCUUGUGAGCAGGAACUGAGUUUGAUCCCAGGGACCCACACAGUCAAAGGAGAGCACGGACUGCUACACAUUAGCCUCUACUUCUACAUGCAUACCACACUUGCACACACAUGUAUACACCAUAAAUAUAACACAAAACAGCAUAAACCAAGGUGCUUUAAAAUUUCCCUUU
rnacentral:lncRNA from 1 species